CAGGGCGUGGCCUAAUGAAGAAGGCGUGGUUACGGGAGGGCAUGGUCCCGGGGGAAGGAAGAGGGGGCGGUCCCGGUGCUCCCAGGACGGAUUUGGAGGGGGGCCGGGGGGCCUGGCCGGAUCAGGCCCGACCCCUCCCAUUCCCUGGGGUCUCGGGAACAAAAGCCAGAAUGUCACGGGCAGUAUCGGGACAGCGGGGCGACACGAGGGGACAGCGGAGGCGGGAGUGAUGUCCCCCGGGGGUCCCGGGUGGGGCUGGGAUCCCCACUUCCAGCUGUGGGUGCAGGCGCUGCUCUGGGCGCUGCUUUUGGGGCGCCUCCUCCACUAUUGGAUGGGCCAGGGCCGGGGGGAGCCGCACCGGGACCAGCCUGAGGCGGGGACACCCCAAAAACGAGGACGGAACCCCCCAAAGUGAGCCCUGAUUGGGGGAGCAGAGGGACAUCCCCAAAGAUCCCUCCUUGUCUCCCCGAGUUCUUUUGGGGAGUCGAUAAGUCGGGGGGGGGUGGUACUUCUGCCUCAGUUUCCCCCGUUCAGGGGAGGGAGGGUUUUGUCCACCCCCCCGUUCCCAGCGGGAUCAUUUGUCUGACUGGGCCGUACUGGGAGGGCCGGUGGGCUUCACAUGUGGCCCUGGGGACAUCGCCCGGCGACAUCUCCGGACACGGUGCUGCAGGCAGAGCUGGGACCUUCCCCUUCCUUGGACACCUCUGGUGGCCCUUCAAGGUGUGACCCCAGUGUUCCCAAGUGUCCCCAUGGCCUCGAGUGGCCUUUCCAGAUUGUGCUGAGCUUCGAGGACCGGCAGGGCCUGGACUGGACCAUCCAGGCCUUGACCCCCAGAGCACAUGGAGGUACCUGAAAUCCACAACUGGACCCCAAAAAUGCACACCUGGAUAUAAAAAAAUACAUCUGAACCCCAGAAUACAAACCUGAACCCAAAAAUAUACACUUGGAACCCAAAAUUACACCUCAAAAUUCUAAAAAACACCCCAUAAACCCUGAACCCCCAAACGUGGAGAUACUUGAAAUACAUCUGAACCCCAGGGGUUUGGGGGGUCCUAGAGCUGUGACCUCCAUAUUUGGGGUUUUCCCAGGGCUGUGACCCCCCUGUUUUUCAGCUUUUCGGGCAUCUCAGGGUGGUGUUUGGGGUCCCAGGGUGGUGACUCCUCUGCUUUUGGGGUCUUGGGUUGUCCGAGGGUGAUGUUUGGGGGUCCCAGGGCAGUGAUUCCCGCCCCCCCCUCAAGGUGGAAGCCUCAUCCAUUUGUUCCCAAAUGUGGGUCCCCAAUACUGGGCGGGGUUCCCCAAAACCGGGGGGGUCCCCAAAACCUCUGGAGGGGGGCUCCAACCACCCAAGGCUUUGUUGUUAAUCAGUUUGAGACAAAUCAAUAAAGUUUGGGUUAAAAAUCCA